UACAGAGGGUGCGAGCGUUGUCCGGAAUCACUGGGCGUAAAGGGCGCGUAGGUGGUGGCUUAAGCGUGCGGUGAAAGCUCGGGGCUCAACUCCGAGUCGGCCGUGCGAACUGGGCUCACUGGAGCAUAGUAGAGGCAGGUGGAAUUCCGGGUGUAGCGGUGGAAUGCGUAGAGAUCCGGAAGAAUACCGGUGGCGAAGGCGGCCUGCUGGGCUAUGGCUGACACUGAGGCGCGACAGCGUGGGGAGCAAACAGG
rnacentral:rRNA from 1 species